GACCUGAAGGAAGAGAAGGCAUGAAAGGAGAGAAGGGAGAUCAAGGCAAGGAUGGAGCACCUGGAAAAAUGGGUCAUAUUGGACGGAGGGGUAAAAGAGGCAAGGCAGGGUUGAGGGGGACCAGAG